CUGUGUUUAAAUUAUUUUUAAGAAAAUAUUGUUUGUGACCUUGCCGAUCUGAAGGUCAUCAGUUGAUUGGCGCAUGAGCUGAUGUUCCUCCAUUGUUGGCAAACUUACAACUUCCAUAAAUCUCAGCUUUUAGCAAGUCCGAAUGCAACUGGUUAAGAUGCCAUAGAUCAGUUGGCUAACCUUGCUACAAAAUGGGAUUUUGGCAACUUUUACUCUUUAAAUAUAUGUAUUGGGAAUUCUACUGAAGACCAUGAAGACCUAUUAGAUAUCCCUGGUCAUGAUGACUACUCUACCAUGUUGAAAUAACAUUAUACUAAUGAAACAACAAAAUGGGUAUGUGAAGAUGAUUCAAUAAACCAAAAGCUGACUGUAGACCCUAGAAGACCUUAAAGAUGAGAAAUCAGUGGACUUUUACAAUGGUUCUUUGAACGCAACUCAAGAACUAGUUUGCAAGGUUUUCAGUGAGCAGUAGAUAAGGACAAUGUUUCCAUUCAUGCACGAC